rnacentral:misc_RNA from 1 species
UUGUACACACCGCCCGUCACACCAUGGAAGUUGGUUUUGCCCGAAGUCGUUACCCCAACCGCAAGGAGGGGGACGCCGAAGGCAGGGCUGAUGACUGGGGUGAAGUCGUAACAAGGUAGCCGUACCGGAAGGUGUGGCUGGAUCACCUCCUUUUCAGGGAGACCAACUGGAAUGCAGAAGUCGGAAUGAUGAAUGAGGAAUUAUUUCAGCAUUCAUCGUUCAUAAGUCAUCAUUCCCAGACAUCCCAAGGUCGGUCGAAGAAUAGUGGUGAGGCUUUCAAACUAUAUUGGUUCGGUUAAUUGGGCUAUUAGCUCAGGUGGUUAGAGCGCACCCCUGAUAAGGGUGAGGUCCCUGGUUCGAGUCCAGGAUGGCCCACGUUGAAAAAAAAAGUGUGAUAGAAAAGUAUUGUUGAGAAAAAUUUCAGCAACUGAACGAUAUGAAAAUCGUCAGACUGCUGGAAACGUUUCCAGCCAGAACCUUGAAAACUGCAUAGUAACGCGAAAAUCGCAGACACAGAGCAAACGUAAGUAAUUACGUUGAACUAGUGUCUGGAGACACCAAUGUGGUCAAGCUAAUACGGCUGACGGUGGAUACCUAGGCACACAGAG